rnacentral:rRNA from 1 species
AUACCCUAUUAUUUUUAUUGUAAAAGAAGAUUAAGUCAGAGUAUUAUUUGUUAUAGUCUUGAAACUUAAAGAAUUUGGCGGUAUUAUAGUCUAUUUAGAGGAAUCUGUUAUGUAAUCGAUAGUCCGCGUAGAACCUUACUUAUAUUAAUUUUUGUAUACCACUGUUUGAGAAUAUACUUUUAGGUAAAUUUUCAAAAUAUGAAAAUAAAUAAUAUUUCAAGUCAAGGUGCAGUUAUAUAUAAGUUGAGUAAUGGAUUACAAUAAAUUUUAUUUAUUAUGAAUUGUUAUUGUAAAAUAAUUUGAAAGUGGAUUUAAUUGUAAUUUUAUAAAGAUUGUUAAAAUGAUUUUAGCUCUAUAAUAUGUACACAUCGCCC